rnacentral:lncRNA from 1 species
UUCACUGCCUCGCUCUCCCUGCUCCCAUGUGAAGAAGGUGCUUGCUUCCCCUUUGCCAUCAGCCAUGAUUGUAAGUUUCCUGAGGCCUCCCAGUCAUGCUUCCUGUUCAGUCUGUGAAACUAAAGUGACAAAGGAGGAGUUCCAGCCAUUGCAAUAGAGGAUGUGAAAUCCAAAGCUCACAUAGUCCUGCAGCAACUGGAACCACAUCAAUACAAAGACAAACUAAGUUUUUCUUCUUCUCAAGAGUUACAAUAUAUUGAUGACCAGACCGGAAGAACCAAGUUACCCUGAAAAGUUCUGUAGGAUAGUCAGCUGGGCUAUGCUCUGACUAUGCCUAUCCAGUACAAAUAAUUCAAAUCCAUGCUUCAGCAAAAUGACAAAUUAAUACCUGUCAGGACUUUGGAACCACAUAUGAGUGACAUCAAAGGUAAUAAAUCCAAAGGCUACUGUAUAUCACCG